rnacentral:tRNA from 1 species
GCCUCCUUAGCUCAGCUGGCCAGAGCAAGAUCCUUGUAAGAUCGAGGUCGUCGGUUCGAAUCCGACAGGGGGCUCC